AGCCUGAACGCUGGCGGCGUGGCUAAGACAUGCAAGUCGUACGGAUGUAGCAAUACAUCAGUGGCGAACGGGUGAGUAAUGAAUCGCUAAUGUGCCCCGGACUCUGGGAUAGCCGGUCGAAAGGCCGGGUAAUACCAGAUGAUAUACCUUCAUCGCAUGAUGAGGGUCUCAAAGGUCCGCCGGUCUGGGAGCAGGCGAUUUCGUAUCAGCUAGUUGGUGAGGUAACGGCUCACCAAGGCGACGACGCGUAGCCGGACUGAGAGGUUGGCCGGCCACAUUGGGACUGAGACACUGCCCAGACUCCUACGGGGGGCUGCAGUAACGAAUCUUCCGCAAUGCACGAAAGUGUGACGGAGCGACGCCGCGUGGAGGACGAAGUUCUUCGGAAUGUAAACUCCUGUCAGAGGAAAGAAAGUUCUGAUCUACCUCAGAGGAAGAGGCGGCUAACUCUGUGCCAGCAGCCGC
rnacentral:rRNA from 1 species